UUAAAAUAUGCAUAAAUGGUGUCAUUCACCUUAUAGGAAUGUACUAUAUUGUUAUUAAUCUAAUUCUCAUUUUAAAGAUGUGGAGUCUGAUGCUAAAGUCAUUUGGAAACUAUCAGUUAUAUCUGUGAGAUGUUUUGAAUUUCCCAAAUAAGUGACUAUAUUCUUUAUCGUAGAAAAAAUAUAUGAAUGAAAAUAUAUCUUGUGCCAGUUUCAUAUGUGCUUACAUUUGAAGAAAUGAAGCAAAGUUUUGCAUAUUUAAAGUUACUCUAAUACCAUCCACUUAAAUAUAUGACUAGAAGCAGAAGCAUUUUAAAACAUGAAUCACUUUAAUUCUCUUUCUCUUAAAGAUAUACCAACAAUGAUUAAUAAUAAUAAUAUCAUCUGUCAUUUAUUGAGGUAUCUAUAUCAAUCUGUUUGGUUCCCAGAUCUGUGCUGGGUGGUUUUUAAUUUUAUUUUUGCCGUGUAAUAUACCUUUCCUCAUCUACUGAGGGUAAUUGCAUCUCAUUUUUUCUUUUGGGAUCCACCCUCCUAACCCUCCCAUUUCUGGGUGGAGUUGACCCUCUCAGCUCCAAGGGUUAAGUAUAUAGCCCAGUUCUAGCCAAAAACACUCCUCAGACCUUGCUAAUGGCUUCAGUGGUAGAUCCUGUCAGGGUCCCAAAUUCCAUUUUACUUAACUUACAAGCUAAUAAGAUAGUCUAUUGUCAUCUAUUGUUUCAUGGAUGACAGCAGAAGACGCAGAAUUUCGGGGUCAGAGACAAGAGUUUAUUACUCGUGGUGCAGCCAGUAAGCAUCAUGAUUUGCAUGAGUUCCUUUUGUUUCUGAUUCUCAUAGAGCUGAAACCAUAUGAGCCCAUCUGGACACCGUGUGCCAGUGGGCUUGUGUCACAGCUAAGGAACAAUGAUGGUGGGGAAACCGCCACUUCAGAGCAAGCAAUAAUCAAGACUUCCGUGUUCUUGAAAGAGACUUUAUCUGAUUGCUCACCAUUCUUGCUAACAAUCACCACCUUGAGAAAGAAUCCAGAAGUGUGGUCAGGGCCUUUAUUCUUGGGCAGACUUAGCAACAUAGAUGGAGGAGAUGGACAGUGAGAGACACGGAGUGGUGUCUCACAACCGAUAAACUAUCUCAAACAGUCCAAUUGGAGAGAAUCAUUUUUACUCUUUCCUUUGAAAUUGGAGCCUGGAAAAAUAUCAUGUUUUAUUCUCUGCAGCUGUCUUGUAAUCACAAAGAAAUGGCCUAUCUGGCAAUGGAGUCAACAUGGCAAAAGUCAGAGAUGAGAAAAGAAAACGAAAAAAAAUUAAAAAAAAGUCUUACUGAGUUAUGGAUAAAGCACACCCUGAAGCCAGAUCUUUCUCCUUCCAGAACUUUCAGUUAUGUGAGCUAGUAAGUUUUUGUUCAUUCACAACUUAAAGAGUCCUAAUGGAUUGGGCCCUUGACCAUGCACUGUCUCAUCACAACCUUCAAAAGGAGGUAUUAUUAUCUGAUCUUAUAAGUGAGCAUAACACAUAUCAGGAAGAUUAACUAGCUCAGUAUCACACAGUUAAUAAAGUACAGCUACAUCUACUGAGGCCAGUCUCCAUGCUCUUCAUCCUGAAACCAUAGUUCUCAAACUUAAGUGUACUUUAGAAACACUGAGACUCACCCCAGACCUAAUGAAUCAAAAACUUUAGAGCGGAGCAAAGACAAUAUGCAUUUUUUUUUCCUUUUUUUUUUUUUUUUUUGUCUUUUCAUCUUUAUUUUUUUUUUAUUUUUUUAUUUUUAUUUUUAUUUUUUAUAAACAUAUAUUUUUAUCCCCAGGGGUACAGGUCUGUGAAUCACCAGGUUUACACACUUCACAGCACUCACCAAAGCACAUACCCUCCCCAAUGUCCAUAAUGCAUUUUUUUUUUUUUUAAGUUCUUGGGUGAUUUGAUGCAGGGUUCAUGGACCACUUGUUAAGAAGUAUUUCCCUUGGGCAAAAGUGUGCCUUCCAGGAUACGGCUGUCUGAUGAUCUGAUACUAUAUCCUUAUUAAAAAGCCUUGCUUCUGGAAGAUAACACUUGGAGCCUUGUCAGGGAUAUAAACUGCAAAUCAGAGGAAAUCCUUUUCUGAGAAGAGCUCUAUUGGGAGAAGUGGGAAAAUUCAGGAGAAAAGGCUUCUGAGGUGAGGAUGGAAGGGUUAGGGAAUGGGAACGUAAAAGGCUAGGGGGUCGGACAAAGUUUUGAAGUUCUAUUUCACCAGUUAUUACCUAAGAAAUUCCUUUUUGUCUGAGGUGUGUGUCUGUUUUGGGUUCAGAUCCCACAGAGAGUUUAUGUAUGUAUAAGGAGACUUGGGAGUCUUUUUGAAAAAAGCAUAGAGACAUCUGCUUGAUUUGCUUAUUACAGUGGCUCAUUGGACAUGAAGGAGAAUAUUUAAUUUAAUUAUUUACUUGGAAUAGACAUUUUGCCACUGCUAAUAAUAUUAGCUAGAUUAAUGAAUUGUUCAAGGGUUAUAGAGACAAAGACACAGCCAGUCCCAGAACAGACAUGUAAACCACAUAUGUCAUUGUAAAAUAUUUUCCUAGUUGCCUAUCAUGUCUUGGAUUUUUUCCUCUCCCUUUUUAAAUGUAAAUGGACUGCUGUCUUUUGAUACUCUAGUGUCUCCACAAACCAUCCUCCUCCAAGUGGACUCUGCUCCAUCGUAAAUCUUUCUGUAAUUUUUUAAAGCUGUGAGUACUCCUGAGGUCUUCGCCCAUAGCUGGUCUGGGCCUGUGGGCAAUGAGUAGGGGUGCGGAGUUGAACACACAUGGGGUUAGUAUGCUAGUUAACAACAUUCCGCACCUCUCAUUCCUUUGUUUUAAACUUCUUCUCCACUCAAAACUGCAGAUUUGAAUCACACUGGUUUAAAGAAAUCUUUUUUUUUUUUAUUAUUAAGAAUCUUAAGCUCACUAUUAUUCCAAAGAAUUUUGAGACUAUGCCUAUAGUCUUAGUCUUGAAGAAGUGUAAUAUUUCCAAAUAUUGACUAAUAAGAUUGAGUUUAACAUAGGUUUUGAAAAUAAUUCAGAUCAUUAUCAAAGUGAACAUUUUACCAAAGGACAUCUAUUUUAAAUAAUGGCUCCUUUUUAGAUGUCGCUACCCAACAGUUUGACAAGCAGGUAUUUUGAUAUUUUAGUUUGCACUGGUUACUUCUCUUCACAGGCCUCCUCAACUUUGUCAUCAUUGUAGAGACACAGUCCUUUCCUUUAGAGCUGAAAUCAGAACCUGGACUAUAUCUGUUCAUCCCUAAUACAAAUCCUUUCAUGAAUACAUUCGCUAUAAUAACCUGUCUCUAGAUCUUUAACAAAAUAGUAAAUGAUCACUUACAACAUUAUCUCUGUACCUGCCUUCCUCCAGGGAAACCAUGUAACAAUGUUGAACCCCUCUGCCUUCUUUUAAAGCCAGCGAACUUAAAUGUGCUGAAUGAAAAGGAACGUUUCCAUCGGAAUGUGGGAAAGAGGUUCUCCUUACCUCAAAGAUGUAAUGUUGAGUGCCUAACCUCUCUGCUGUGGUACGUUGGACCAAAGAAGGUGAAGAGCAAGAUUUACAAAGCAACCCCACUACCAAGGUGUUCUUUGGAAGACUGAUAGAAAUAUGAUAUCUCUAAUAUUUAUUUAAAAUAAGUUGGAAAUAUAUCAGGUUUUUUUGUU